rnacentral:lncRNA from 1 species
CCAUCAACAAAAUAUUCUAAGUCCAAAUUCCAUCCCACUUUCCAUCAAAGAAAAUGUUUAAGUCCAAUUUCCAUCAAACUUCUUUCAUUUUCAUCCUAUUUACCAUCAUGGAAUAAGUGCCAUCAUAUUUUGCAUCAGGGGGUAAAAAUGCCAUCCAAUUUUCCAUCAGAGGGUAAAAAUGCCAUCCAAUUUUCCAUCAGGGG